UACGUAGAGUGCAAGCGUUAAUCGGAAUUACUGGGCGUAAAGCGUGCGCAGGCGGUUUUGUAAGUCUGACGUGAAAUCCCCGGGCUCAACCUGGGAAUUGCGUUGGAGACUGCAAGGCUAGAAUCUGGCAGAGGGGGGUAGAAUUCCACGUGUAGCAGUGAAAUGCGUAGAGAUGUGGAGGAACACCGAUGGCGAAGGCAGCCCCCUGGGUCAAGAUUGACGCUCAUGCACGAAAGCGUGGGGAGCAAACAGG
rnacentral:rRNA from 1 species